UUUCCGUAGGUGAACCUGCGGAAGGAUCAUUACCGGGUGAGGGUCUCUCAGGCCCGACCUCCCACCCUGUGUUUUUGUGACCUUGUUGCUUUGGCGGUUCCCCCUCGAUGAGAGGCCGCCGGAAGCUCACCGCUUUGGGCCCGUGCCCGCCAGUAGCCCCCUUAAAUUCUUAAUAAACCUGUCGUCUGACUCUAGAUAAAAUAAAAAAAACUUUCAACAACGGAUCUCUUGGUUCUG
rnacentral:misc_RNA from 1 species